AACAAACCUCAAUAGCUCCUAGAAAGUUAGAGGAAUUCAAGAAUGGGCUCUAUUCUCCAAACGAGGUUGUUAAAACAUUGAUGCAUUCCGUUUCAUCUAAUUUUCCCACUUAAAUCCUCUCUCGGUUGCAAUUAAAUCUGCGCUUUAUGAAGACUCACCGAUAGUGGGGAUGGUGGUAACAAUUUCUCCGAGCUUUAACUUGUAUAAGAUCGUGGUUUUACCAGCAGCAUCAAGACCCACCAUCAAAAUGCGCAUCUCUUUCUUAGAAAAGAGGCUGCUGAAGAGCUUCGUGAAGGUCAGCCCCAUUUCUGCUUCCCUCUAUGGGCAACAAUCAC